AGCAGCCGCGGUAAUUCCAGCUCCAAUAGCGUAUAUUAAAGUUGUUGCAGUUAAAAAGCUCGUAGUUGAACCUUAGGCCCGUGCGGGCGGUCCGUCCUCUGGGCGAGCACUGCCUCGUCGCGGGUCUCACCUUCUGGCGAGCGUGGAUGCCAUUCAUUUGGUGUCCGCGGGAACCAGGACCUUUACCUUGAAAAAAUUAGAGUGCUCAAAGCGGGCUCUUACGCUUGAAUACAUUAGCAUGGAAUAAUGAAAUAGGACGACGGUUCUAUUUUGUUGGUUUCCGGGACGGUCGUAAUGAUUAAUAGGGAUAGUUGGG
rnacentral:rRNA from 1 species